ensembl:lncRNA
UGUCCUUCCUCCUCUGGUAGCUUCCUCUGCUGGGAAGAAGGGUGGGGAAGAGAUGCUGCAAGAGCUACAGAACUCCCGGCAGCCCUUAGGUUUGUUGUUUCCCUUUAUGACCUUCGGCCCUUUUCUAAAUCCAGCAGACAUCUGACUCCCUGGCAUGAUCAUCACACUCACGGUCAGAACGGCAGCACACACUCUGGCACUGAUGCCGGGAACUGUGAGUCACUGCUCCGGGUUCUUCCUGGUGUGGAAGUGAGUCUCCGAAGAGGGAGAAAGAGCAGUCUGUCAGAACCGGUUACAAGCUAAAACUAUACUAACUAAAACGGGGUCUCCACCUGCCCCUGCCUCCCGAGUGCUGGGAAUCAAAGUAGACAUCCUUCAUGCUGGGCUUCUGGCAAUACUUCAUGCACUAUAUCCCAUGGAAUUAUUUAAGAUGAGUAAAACUCUUUUGAGAAAUUAUUUUCUUUGUUCAAAGACUCAUACGUGGAUCCUUCCUGAAAAAUAUGUGAUUAGUCUUUUUAUCUAAAAGACCAUGGAAUUCUUCAUUUUCUCAGUUUUUUUUUUCCUACCUCCUCUUUCUUCAUCCGUUAUUUUCAACGAUAAAAAUGUAAACUUUGUUACAAGGUCAUUUGGAACUGGGAGCUUUUAGAAAAACAUUGAAUGAAAUAAAACAUAGUCAGUGACUAUAUGACUUUA